ACAGAAAAAGGCACAGGCUUUGAAAGUAACUUCGUAUGCUUAUCUUUUGAAAACAAAAUGGAGAGUAUAAACUUUUAUCAAUGGAAGGAAGGAAAUUGAAGCUUUACUAUUAAAUUUAAGCAAUGAGCUCCCAGUUAUCUGGCUGUAUAUGCAACCCCAGUGUAAUCUGCAGUGGAGAGGACUGGUCCUGUGUCUUAGAGCAAAGCAUGAUGGGGAAUUGAAAGCAUGUGACAGACAUCCUGCACUUCAAGGUUGGGCUGUUGGCUGCCGUGAAGCAUCCAUGAAGUGGGGGCUUAGGUAGGAGUUUGGGAGCUGCUCCUGGUCCCUUCCUACCAGGGUCUGGGCAUGCACUUACCUCCUUCUCCCAACUACCUUGUAGAUGAACCCAGAACCGAAACUCUUUCUUUUUCUUCAGAUCCUCUAUUCUCUUUCCCCUUGGGUCUUUCCUUUCUUUCUCAGAUUUCCCUACCAAUUGUGGCCUCAUUUACCUGCCCCAUUUUGGGUAGGUCUGCUGGGGUGGAGUGGGAGUAGGAGAAGAUAAGCAAUGCCGACCAGUCAGCAGGGACACUCUCAUUAUAGCCCCUGAAAAUUGUUUUUGCUAUUUCUCUAAAAGAAGCUCCCUCUCUUUUUCAGUUUCAAGAUUUAUGGCCAAUGUGUCCCCUGAGUAAAGCUUUCUUUAAGAAGUGAGGCUGGCUUAGGUGUAGGCAAAGCCUCAAGAAGGGAAGUGGUAUUUGUCAGACCCCUGGGAGGGAGCAUAAGUGGUCUGGUGGUGGAGGGAAACACUACCACAAAAAAUAGUUCAGAGUUUGAGCUCUGAGAUGGCCUACUUCUGAGGCUCAAGUUAGCCUUUGGGUUAUCAUAAUUGAUUUGUUUUUCAUUUUGAAUUUCCUCAAGCAUUCUAAGCAUUUCAGGUACUAUACUACACCCUCAGGACACCAACUUUGUGUCUUUACUGAGAGAGUGAACAUUUGGAUAGGAUAGGGAAACAAGUGCAAUGGGUUAUAUCUGGAAGGCCCCCCAAGGGCCCACUUGGUAGAGCCUUGUUCUCCAUCAUGGAAGUAUUGGGAAGUGGUGGACCUUUAAGAGGUGGGGGGUCAGAGGACAUUGGGGGCAUACCUUCUUAUGAAGAGUUUUUAUGGGGCCUCCUUCUUCCAUUCAUUCUUCUUUUGCUUUCUGUCCAUGAGGUGAAUGGCUUUGUGAGAUGCAUUUCCAUCAUAUGUUGCCUAAUCCCAGGCCCCAAAGCCUAGGGCCAAGAAAUCAUAGACUGGAUUCUUCCAAAUUGGGCUGAAAAAAACCUUUUUUUUGAAUUGAUUAUUUCAGGUAUUUUGUUACAGUAACAGAAAGUUGGCUGAAACAACAGGGAUUUAUAAUGAAAUAUGACAAAUAUUAAUAAAGAUUUCAUAAAAUGAUAUGGUCACAAAGCAGAAUUUUAAAAAUCUCUUAUUUAUGCAAAAGAAGUUCUCGGACUAAGAUUAGUUUUUAUGAUUAGCAUAAACUAAUGAUACUAGGUGAAGAAAUUUGACAUCUUUUCAAGUAUCUUGUGUUCUUAAAGAAAUAUCCUUAGCUUUUAGAAUAUAUGUUUUUUAAUUCUCUGGUCAGGCACCUACUAGUUCUAAAAAUUUAAUGAAAUUACUUAAAAUGAAUGUCUUCGUUGGCUUUUCUGCAAAAUGUUAAAUAAUAUAACAAUUCUUAAUUCAUAGAUUGUUCUGGAUAAUUAAAUUAGUUAACACAUGAAAAGUGCUUAUGUCCGUGCUUGGUCCACAAUUAGAACAUAAUAAACUUGCUCUAUCAUUACUCUAUCAUUGUGAUGGUUGUUCUCAUCAUUGUCAGCAUCAUUAUCUUAUCAUUUUUAUUUCUAGUGUACAAAAAAAAUACUUAAAUUGAGUUGUACUUUCAGGAGACUCUGAGACCGACUUGGCUAGAUUGACUUGUGUUCCCAUGUAGCAUAGUUGGAAAGGCUCAUGGGCUUGAUUGCCUACUGACUGCACAGGAGAGUCCAUUUAUAAUGGUUGGUACAAAUAAACGUUUUGGUCAGAAGAAUUUAAAUGCAAGAAAUCAGAAGAGUCUAAUCUUGAAUGAUUCCAAAACACUUACCAAGAAGAUGAUUUUUUUUGUAGUGAAAAGACAAACUCCUCAAAGAGCAAACCCAAAUAAUAUUAACAACUGGAUCAGGUUAUCAAUGUUGGAGUCCACAUUAAUAAUUCUAUUAUUAUUAAUAGAACCAAUAUCAGUCCAUUCUAAUUGGCUAAAACACUGAUAAUAAUAUUACAGUGUUUUAUCUUGAUAUAGAUUAUGAAGAAUAGCUAGAUUAUAAAGAAUAGAUAUCCUAUAAUAGAUAAAUAUUAAGUACACGCAGGCACAGACAAUCUAUUCUCUGAUUAAUGACUAGGCUAGAAAUUAAAAGUAAUUCUAUUUAUGUCAGAAUCCUAUGUCACAACAUUUUCAUAUCUUAUCUUAAAAUAGUAAUCACAUUUUCUCAGUUUGUUCCAGUGAGUUCAACGUGAUUACCAUUACCAACAUAUUAGGACAUGAGAGAAUACAUGAGAGAAUACAUGAGAGGAUUUUGAUCCAUAUAUGGUAAACUCAAAAAUGUAGAAAUAUAAAAAAAAUUUAAACAAAGAAAAUUUGCAAAUAUAAGACAAAAUAAUUUUCUCCUCAUCCAAAGAUGUUUGGUUUUUUAUUCCCAUGCAAUGCACCAACUCAAAAUAUAGUGGCUUAAAAAUAAUAAAACCAAAAAUAUAUAUAAAAUUUAAUAAUUAGAUUCAUGUUUUUGAGUAGAUUCAUGUUUUUUGAGUAUAUCCUUUACAAAUCUAUAAUUGGGGCAAGGCUCAAAGUAGAGGUCCUGUGUGUUUCAUGUGGUGUAGAGUGGGCUGGAAGAAUCUACUUCUAAUCUGGUGCACUCACACAGCAGAAAGUUGGAGCUAGUUAGGAGCUCAGAGAGGUUUGAGAGUUGUGGGCUCAGAUGCUCUCCAUAUUUGCCUCCUCACAGGCUACUUGGUCUUCCUCCUAACAUGGUGGCAAGUUUCAAAAAUAAACUUCCCAAGAGUGAGGAAAUAAAAGUUGCCAAUUUAUUAAGAACUGGGCCAGAAAUAGAAACAAUGUCACUCCCACAAUAUUUUGGUCAAGCUUCCUAGACUUCACUUUCCUAAAGAGGAAAUAAAUAUAGACUUCACAGAAGUACUAAAAAAAUGGGUGUUGUGAUAUAAAAUAUCUAGUCUCCCUUCAGAUACAAAUUGUUUACAUUUCUUCCACAUAUAUUCAUUAUUAUGGUUUAGAUAUGAGGUAUCCCACAAAAGCUCAUGUUCAAUGCAAGAAGGUUUAGAGGUGAAAUGAUUAGGUUAUGAGGGCCUUAACCUAAUCAGUGUGUUAUACCUGGUAAGGAUUACCUAGGUGGUGACUGUGGGCAGGUGGGAUGUGGGUGAAAAAGGUAGGUCACCAAGGGCAUGUUUUGGGAGUUUAUACUCUAUCCAUGCUUCCUGUCAUGUCCUAAGCUGCUUUCUACUCCUACAUUCUUCUGCCAUGAUGUCUGCUUCACCUUGAACCAAGAGUGAUGGAGUUGUCCAUCUAGGACUGAGAUCUGCAAAACUGUGAGCCCCAAAUAAACAUUUGCUCCUCUAAAAUUGUACUUGUCAGAUCUUCUGAUCAGUGCAGUGAAAAAGCUGAUUAAAACACUGACCCACUUCCGACACUUAAAAAGAGUCUCAUCAAUACUGCAUCAGAUUGAGCCUCAGGGCCUAAGAAUUAUCACUAAAAAUCAAGUGUAGGCAUAAAUGAGGCUCUUCAAAUAUGGGUAUUUAAGCAUAGUGCCUAAGUAUAGCCCCUCUUAGUGAGAAAACAAGAAUAGAAGACAAGUUCUCUGCCCAAUAUAGUCAGCAAACAAUGGUAAUGCAGGCCAGGGCACCUUUCAUAGAGUCUCCUGUUCAGAGAAAAAGGCAUGUAGUGGUGACUACAGCUACCCUGGUGCUACAGUCAUGCUAGUGUGUCCACUUCCUUGACUGUGGCUUAUUUAUAACCCCUGAGUAUUUCCUCUAUCAUUCAUGCUCCUCCUCUUUAGGUUCUAAGUGUCAUUCUCUAUAUCAUCCUUCCUUUUCAGUAAGAAAAUAGUUUGUAACAAAGUGGCUUCUGCAGUCUAUUCCAGCCCAUCAAAUAAUGUGGGCCCAAAGCUGUUAGGAUCUGUAAACAAGUCAAGAUGGCGCCUGGCAUUUUGCAGAGGGAGUGGUUUGUGAAGUAACACCAGCGAGCCAUUAAGUGUGGAGAUUCCUUAUUGGUUGACUGCUGUAUCUAGUUUAUGUUAAUUAAGAUAAGCUGUGUGGAAUGUAUAUAUAUCCCUCUGGUCCUACAAUAAACGGCUCCCAUCCUGCUGUAUCAAGGUACACAAGUUGUUCGUCAUCCCCCAGUUAUUUUGCUGCAGCCGGACUGCGGCAGAUGGUGGCCCAUAUGGGGAGCCCCGGGACACUUGGGGGUAAGUGACGGAAAAAAAAAAAAAGGACCUGAGCAAAUCUGCUAGGCAGAUAGGGCCAGAGAAAAAAUGGUCAUUUUGAGAAAAUGGAGAAGAUUGAUGCAGUAUGUUUGUGUCUUGUUUUGUCUUGAAAUGUUGUAUUGUCUUUGUGAUGAAAAUAUGGAAGGGGUGAGAAGUAAAUUACUAAGGGAAGAAGGCACCCCAGUGGAAUCAAGAGCAGUUAGGGCAUAUGUUGAUGAAAGCCCAGGAACUCUAGUCAGAAAGAAAAAGAAAGUUCAGAAGAAGGAUUAUCAGGAAAAAAGUUGCAGCAAAAGGCUAUUACUGAAUACUUUUCGUUACCGGAGGGUGCGUGAAUCGGUGCAGCGGCCGCCACGUGCGCGAGCCGGUCAUGGCGCAGCAAGGACUUUCCAAGCAGCAGCAGCGGGCUCUUCCCCGCCCCCCACCCAGAGAGCAGGACGCCACUGCAAGAGCCCAAAUCCAAACCUGACCCGAAGGCACGGUCUCGCAGGCUCUUGCUCCCUGUGCCCAGUGGCAGUUUGAGUCCGGAACACUCCCCAGACUCUCCCCGGGGCCAUCUGGGGCUGCCCAGGACGCUGCAGGCGGAAGAUGGCCCUGAAGUUUGAUCAUUUCCAAGGCCAGUAACUACAAUGGUUCUCCCACACCUGGAAGCUAAUGAGUAAUGAUCACUAUAUUAAGGCUUAUUUCAAAUGUAAAAAACCUUGAGAUAAUGUACUAAAUUGUUCAGAAGGUUGUUUUCUUAGCGACUGCUGGAAUACUACAGGAUUUUCUUUAGCCAUCCAGAGUUCCUGCCUUCAUCCCAGUGCAUGUGAGGAGGGUGGAAGAAUUUCCAGUGUUGCUGAAAACUGGACGAGACUUCGACUGAGAAACGGACAAGACUUCGGAGCUGUUGCUGUUUCUGCUGCUACAGCUUAGGCUAGCUGCCUGAAGAACUUACCUGGACUGUGAUUUAAGCUAACUGCCUGCAGAACUUACCUGGACUGUGAUUUACCUGGACUGUGAGUUAAUCUAUUGAGACACUGCUUUACCUGGACUGAGACAACAAACUGUAAUCUACAACAAAUUGUAACUCGGUAUCUUUGCUAACGGUGUCAUUGCUGGUAUAAUUUUUCCAAGGGCUUCUUGCAUGGAGUCAUCAAUUGGCUUGGUAUUGUGGCAUUUUGUAUCCUCCCCUUCUGCUUGUAGCAGAUUAUUUGUGGUGUUUGUUUAAAAACCACUAUGGUCAUUAUUUAAAUUAAACAAAAGGGGGAAUUGUUAGGGUCUGUAAACAAGUCAAGAUGGCGUCUGGCAUUUUGCAGAGGGAGUGGUUUGUGAAGUAAUGCCAGUGAGCCAUUAAGUGUGGAGAUUCCUUAUUGGUUGACUGCUAUAUCUAGUUUAUGUUAAUUAAGAUAAGCUGUGUGGAAUGUAUAUAUAUCCCUCUGGUCCUACAAUAAACGGCUCCCAUUCCUGCUGUAUCAAGGUACACAAGUUGUUCGUCAUGCCCUGGUUAUUUUGCUGUAGCCGGACUGCGGCACAAAGCAGUUGGUUGCUUUAAGCAGAAAAAUUACUUUAAAAUAUUGUGGGUUCUCUGAAUCUUAUUUGAAUUUGCACCAUUAGUCAAAAGCUGAAUCCCAAAUAUCUUUGCAAUAAGAUCUUCUCAUACUUGAGUUGCCAUAAUGAUACUAUGUGAGUAAAACUCUGUUCAGAUACUCAAAUUCCAUAUGGUUUAAUAGAGAGGGUCUGUGUGCCAUGCCCUGAAUACCCUUGGAGAGUCUUUGGUUCUCUUAGGAAUUUGUGGAGUGCUGUGUUAGAUCUUCUUUGACAAAUGGUCUAUUUAUCCCACCUGGAAAUUGAUCUUUAGCCUGAGGCCCUUUCCUUACUUCAAGAAUUUUUCAAAUCAUCUGUAGAGCCUGGGAAUGAGAACAUUAUUAUUUACAAAUCUAGAUAAUCCUCAUUCCUUUACAUCUAAGAGUUUAUUCUUCCACACAUUUAAUUUCAAACAUUAUCAAAACCUUUUAAUAUGUUUUUCCUUUUAUUCGUGAGAACAGAAACCUGGCAGACACCAGAAAUCAUCACAGGAACCAAACUGUGCUGGCACCCUGAGCUUGGAGGUGUGUUAACUCCAGAAAGGCAUGAAAUAUUGCUUAAUGUUUAUUGUUUAAGCCACCAGUUUGGGGUAUCAGUUAUGCACCCUGAGCUAAUAUUUUUAAUAAGAUUCUCGUUUUUCUCUCAUUAGGUUCAUGCUGGCGGCUGAAUUUUGUUCUUCCCAGAUCCAUAUGUUGAAUUAAUAACUCCCAAAUUAUUUGAAGACGGGGCUUUAAGAAGGAAAGUCCAGUACAACAUUGGACUUCUUACAGAAAUCAAGAAUGCUAUCAACAAUUGGCUGGCACUGAAGAUAAAACUUGCUCAAAUUAAUGCUA